rnacentral:rRNA from 1 species
AUGAAGCUGGAAUUGCUAGUAAUGGCAGGUCAGCAUACUGCCGUGAAUACGUUCCCGGGCCUUGUACACACCGCCCGUCACGCCAUGAGAGUUGGGAAUACCCGAAGCCUGUGAGCUAACUUAUAGAGGCAGCAGUCGAAGGUAGAACCAAUGAUUGGGGUGAAGUCGUAACAAGGUAGC